rnacentral:rRNA from 1 species
AUUGAACGCUCGCGGCAUGCUUUACACAUGCAAGUCGAACGGUAACUGGCCGCAAGGUGCUGACGAGUGGCGAACGGGUGAGUAAUGCAUCGGAACGUGCCCAGUCGUGGGGGAUAACGCAGCGAAAGCUGUGCUAAUACCGCAUACGAUCUAUGGAUGAAAGCGGGGGACCGUAAGGCCUCGCGCGAUUGGAGCGGCCGAUGUCAGAUUAGGUAGUUGGUGGGGUAAAGGCCUACCAAGCCGACGAUCUGUAGCUGGUCUGAGAGGACGACCAGCCACACUGGGACUGAGACACGGCCCAGACGCCUACGGGAGGCAGCAGUGGGGAAUUUUGGACAAUGGGCGCAAGCCUGAUCCAGCAAUGCCGCGUGCAGGAAGAAGGCCUUCGGGUUGUAAACUGCUUUUGGACGGAACGAAACGGUCUGGGUUAAUACCCUGGGCUAAUGACGGUACCGUAAGAAUAAGCACCGGCUAACUCUGUGCCAGCCGCCGCCGUAACAC